GAAUGGUCUGACGAGAAAAAAACUUUCUUUUAUCAAAAUUUGAAUUUGACAUUUAAGUUAAAAGGCCUAAAUUUUUCAGCAAGACGACAAGACCCUAUAAAACUUAACUGUAAAAAAUUUAAACUACCAUUUUAAACUUUUUAAUUACAUACAGUUUGACUGGGGCGGUAUUUAUAUAACUACUAACUAUAUUUUCUAAAACAUUAAUUUAUGAAAAAAUAAAUCUUAACUUUAAAUUAAUUUCAAGUUACUUUAGGGAUAACAGCACAAUAUUUUUUAAGAGCCCUUAUCAACAAAAAUGAUUGUGACCUCGAUGUUGAAUUGGGAUAUAACUUUUGAGCAACUACUGAAGCCAUGAGUCUGUUCGACUCUUAAUUUCCCACAUGAUCUGAGUUCCAAACCGGA
rnacentral:rRNA from 1 species